AACGCACAUGCAUAUUUGAAAGAAAAAGUCUAUUGGAAAGGUUAUGUAGAAUCAGCUUGAAUACUUCAUCAUGCAAAUUCAAUGGGAUUCUUCCCCUCUCCCUGCUAUUCUGGGGCGGAAGGGGGAAACAGGGUUUCUUCCUCCUGAUCACUGACUAAAUGGAAGCUGUGUCCAGAGGGGUCGCCGAUUUUAUUUUUAUUUUUUUGUUUUUAUGUUUCGGGGAGGUGGUGAACCGCAGCAGCCGGCGGUUGUGUCCAGGUCGCCGCCGCCGGGUCCCCGGGGCUCCCGCACGCAGGGCCUGGCGCGAAGGUCACCGCCCAGCACCACCUCGGGCUGCGCGUCCAUUUCCAAGAGGCAGGCGGUGGAGAGAGGGGAGCCCGGGCACCGUGUUCCCUCUUCCUCUCAUCGCCAACCUCCUACCCUUCAGUGGUUUCUGAAAAAUGAGAGAACUUAAAAAGAAGAAGAAGAAGAAGAAGAAGAAGAAGAAGAAGAAGAAGAAGAAGAAGAAGAAGAAGAAGAAGAGGAAGAAGGAGGAAAAUCUCCCACUCUGUUAAAACUUAGCAGUCCUGUUAAAAAAAUAAAGCAAUGGAUUCUUUAC
rnacentral:lncRNA from 1 species